rnacentral:misc_RNA from 1 species
CGUUGUUUCACUUCUGAAGAGCCAAAGCAUCAGAGUAAAUGGCUGCACUGGGCUGAAUACUGGUUUAAUACCAGUUUUCAUACUGCCAUAGGAAUGACACCAUUUGAGAUAGUUUUUGGUCGUUCUCCUCCCACUAUUUCUAAGUUUAUACCAGGCAAAACAAAAGUGGAGGCAGUGGAUCAAGAAUUAUUAGACUGAGAUGAAAUGUUGAGGCAACUACAUUAUAAUCUCUAGAAAGCACAGCAGAAAAUGGUAAAGACUACUAAUACUCAUCAAAGGGAUGAACAAUUUCAAGUUGGUGACUCUGUCUUUCUCAAGUUCAGGCCCCAUCGGCUGCUUUCAAUUUAUUCCAAAGUGAUGCCAAAACUAGCAGCAAGAUAUUAUGGACCUUCCAAAAUAAUUGGAAAGGUUGGACCAGUGGCAUAUAAACUACAACUUCCAGUUGAAGCUUGUAUUCACCUUGUUUUUCAUGUAUCCCAAUUAAAGAAGGUAGUAGGUAAUCAUGAUGUUAUUGCAGAAAUACCUCAUGAUAUGGCAGUGGAUGAACCUAUGAUAGAGCCUGAAGCCAUUUUACAACACCGAAUGAUUCAAAGGUCCACCGCUCUUGUUCCUCAAAUUUUAGUCCAUUGGAAGGGUAAGUCGAGGGAAAAUGCUACCUUGGUUGAUUUUCGUAAUCAAUUUCCAACAUUCAGCCUCAAGGAGAAGGCUGUGCUUCAAGGAGAUGGCAAUGAUAUGACAGGGUUGAAUCAACAAGGCUAUAAGACUGGUAAUGGGCCUGGACAACUCAGAGUUUAUACAAGGAGAAAAAUAAGAAGAAAUGGAGCUGAGGUUUUAGAGAAUUCAGGAGGUGCUGCCUUGGAUAACAGAAUGAUAACCGUUGUUUACGAAGAGCAUUCUGGAAGUACUGACGUGGAUAACAAAUUGGUGCUCUUUUCAUGUGCUGCUGAAAGCUACAAGUAACCAUCCAUGAGAGAGGGAAGGCAUGCUAGUGAUCUUGUAUUCGGCUUAAUGCUGGGCCUGAGUAUUUCUUUUGGGAAUUCUCUGGUGUAAUUUUGUUUUUGUAAUAGCCAUUACUAGUUGAACUAAGUUGUAUUGUUGUUUUUUCACUUCUUCAAAAUAAUACCACAUUGCCCUCCUCUCCAUUUCUUUGUGUUUCGCUCUGCUCAUUUAUUUUUUUAUUCGUUCUUAACUCUAUCAAAUUGGUUCGAUCUGCCUGAUGCCAAACACAAGAAUGGAUUCACGGGUUGUCGGGUUGACACAAUAGAGAGGGAGCAUGUCCGCAUUGGAA